rnacentral:rRNA from 1 species
AGUAAAUUGGUUAAGUUAGAAAGGGCGCACGGUGGAUGCCUUGGCACUAGGAGCCGAAGAAGGACGGGACUAACACCGAUAUGCUUUGGGGAGCUGUACGUAAGCGUUGAUCCAGAGAUUUCCGAAUGGGGGAACCCACUAUCUUUAGUCGGAUAGUAUCCUUACGUGAAUACAUAGCGUGAGGAAGGCAGACCCAGGGAACUGAAACAUCUAAGUACCUGGAGGAAGAGAAAGAAA